UUUGUUUAAAAAAAAAAAAAAAAAAAAAAAAAAACCCCCCCCCCCCCCCCCCCCCCCCCCCCCCCCCCCCCCCCCCCCCGAAAAAAAAAAAAAAGAAAAAAAGCCUGCUGGCACAGCUCAGGGAAACUGUGCUAGAAAUAACUGUGCUUAUGCAGAGCUGUCAAAAACAGGCUGUCGCCGGUGCCGCUGGGACGGGAGCGCAGCCAGGGCCGCGCUGCCCGGCGGGAGGAGCAGGCCGCGCCGCAGCCCUGCCUUUGUCUGCACACCACGGAGGAGGAGAUGUUCCAUGAAAGCCAGGGAGGAGAUCAGCAAGCAUCUUUGCAGGUCUGAGUGAUUGGGACAGAGCAGCUGUAUGAGAGUUCAGAUUAACAGAUGCUUUGCCAAUGUUCCAAUCCUGUGCUGACAAGAGAUGUUUGGAAAACAGCCUUAGGAUCCAAGAGUGCAGAAAGCAGCUCACAGGCAGGACAAAGCUGCCACCCAAACCCUGGGGAUGGCCAUCCUUCAAUCCAACAUCUGACUUGUCUGCUUUUCUGCCGCAGAAAACUUUAUUUUGUAGUUAAAACAACCCUCAAGGGUUAA
rnacentral:lncRNA from 12 species